UUCAUGUAGGUAUAUCUCAGGGUGACUUUAUUUGUGUUCAUAUGAAUUGGAACUAAGCAUUGAACGAUCCAUAUGCAGCUUCAUGAGGCAUUUAGGUGAAGUCAGUACAAUGCUCAUUUGCCAAGGACUCAUGGAACGAUGUCAGGUUUAGGUGAGGUACGCGCAUCAGGAAUCAUGUUAGCAUGUGGUCAUGCCAUAAGUCACCAGUUCCUACAUUUUCCUUCUAUAAUUGCUCUUGUUUUUCAUAAAUUCAAUCAAAGCAAUUGAUGGAUCACAUGAACAGGUUGACAAAUGAGCAUGCAUCUGCGGAGCAGAGGGGUCUUCUAGCCUAACAAAGUCUUGGUGGCAGCGGUGUGUAAAAGACUUACGAACUUCAGAUCAGAGAAGACCAUGCACCUGUGCCGGCGAAGAGCUCGUCGUCGCCGCCACGGCAGGGCGCCUGGGCGGCUGCACCCGUGUUGGGGAAGAGCUCGUCGUCGGGUGCCUUGGCGGCUGCGCAGGGCA
rnacentral:lncRNA from 1 species